rnacentral:rRNA from 1 species
AGUGAACGCUGGCGGUAGGCCUAACACAUGCAAGUCGAACGGCAGCACAGUAAGAGCUUGCUCUUACGGGUGGCGAGUGGAGGACGGGUGAGGAAUACAUCGGACUCUACUUUUUCGUGGGGGAUAACGUAGGGAAACUUACGCUAAUCCCGCAUACGACCUACGGGUGAAAGCAGGGGUUCUUCGGACCUCGCGCGAUCGAAUGAGCCGAUGUCGGAUUAGCUAGUUGGCGGGGUAAAGCCCCACCAAGGCGACGAUCCGUAGCUGGUCUGAGAGGAUGAUCAGCCACACUGGAACUGAGACACGGUCCAGACUCCUACGGGAGGCAGCAGUGGGGAAUAUUGGACAAUGGGCGCAAGCCUGAUCCAGCCAUACCGCGUGGGGGAAGAAGGCCUUCGGGUUGUAAAGCCCUUUUGUUGGGAAAGAAAAGCAGCAGGUUAAUACCCCGCGGUUCUGACGGUACCCAAAGAAUAAGCACCGGCUAACUUCGUG